AGUUGGUCUGAGUGCAGUGGUGUUUACAACUAGUUGAUAACAAUCAGUUACAAAUUUCUUUUUUCCUUCUCCAUCCUGUUUCACUUGGCUAGCCUUUA
rnacentral:Y_RNA from 1 species